rnacentral:rRNA from 1 species
GAUGAACGCUGGCGGCGUGCUUAACACAUGCAAGUCGAACGGACUUUACAUGAAGCCUAGCGAUUGUAAAGUUAGUGGCGGACGGGUGAGUAACGCGUGGGUAACCUGCCCUACACUGGGGGAUAACACUUAGAAAUAGGUGCUAAUACCGCAUAAGCGCACGAAACCGCAUGGUUUUGUGUGAAAAACUCCGGUGGUGUAGGAUGGACCCGCGUCUGAUUAGCUAGUUGGUGAGGUAACGGCCCACCAAGGCGACGAUCAGUAGCCGGCCUGAGAGGGUGACCGGCCACAUUGGGACUGAGACACGGCCCAGACUCCUACGGGAGGCAGCAGUCGGGAAUAUUGCGCAAUGGAGGAAACUCUGACGCAGUGACGCCGCGUAUAGGAAGAAGGUUUUCGGAUUGUAAACUAUUGUCAUUAGGGAAGAUAAAAGACUGUACCUAAAGAGGAAGCACCGGCUAACUAUGUG